rnacentral:rRNA from 1 species
AUUGAACGCUGGCGGCAGGCCUAACACAUGCAAGUCGAGCGGUAGAGAGAAGCUUGCUUCUCUUGAGAGCGGCGGACGGGUGAGUAAUGCCUAGGAAUCUGCCUGGUAGUGGGGGAUAACGUUCGGAAACGGACGCUAAUACCGCAUACGUCCUACGGGAGAAAGCAGGGGACCUUMGGGCCUUGCGCUAUCAGAUGAGCCUAGGUCGGAUUAGCUAGUUGGUGAGGUAAUGGCUCACCAAGGCGACGAUCCGUAACUGGUCUGAGAGGAUGAUCAGUCACACUGGAACUGAGACACGGUCCAGACUCCUACGGGAGGCAGCAGUGGGGAAUAUUGGACAAUGGGCGAAAGCCUGAUCCAGCCAUGCCGCGUGUGUGAAGAAGGUCUUCGGAUUGUAAAGCACUUUAAGUUGGGAGGAAGGGUUGUAGAUUAAUACUCUGCAAUUUGACGUACCGAC